CAGUUUCGUUCUUGUGUUAAAUUAGGAAAACAACAGAUUGUACAUUUAACUGGAGUAGACGGUGCAGGUACUAUGGAUGCGUCUGCCCCCGGAAGUUCAUUCUCUAUUUCUGGGGUGAUCUUCCCCAAAGCCUGUGUAAUGAUCGAGGAUUUCUUCAAAGUUGCUAACGGAUGUAUAGCUAGACGAAACAAUGGAAAGGAUAGUGAAUUCAGUUCAAUGACAGUGGACCAGUAAGUUGACAAAUGUGAGAAAUUCCGGUGACAAGAACAGACAAGUCAAGACAAACGAACCUUUUCUUUGGUAAAUGUACACGACACACCGCCUGGCCAAGGUGAACCGUACGUGCCCCCAAGUAUUAAGUUCCAGUAAAAAGUGUAUAAUAAGGACACUUUUUUUUUCUUUGAUGUAGGUCAAAUUUCAAAAUGUAGGUCACAGUGACUAACUUUUGGUACAUGACUCACCGAGACUCCUAGGUGAUACCAUGUCACAGAUAAUAAUCUGUUAUUUUAAGUUCAUAUUAUCAUGAUUUGCUUGAAACAGUGGGUUUCAGGUCCGCAUCUGUGAAGCUAUGUUUGAUGUUUCCUCAGCUGCAUACAGAUUGAAGGUCAAUAAUAAAAAUAUAGAUAUUCAAUAUCAAAUAAAACCAUAACUCUUCAUCAAACAUUC